rnacentral:lncRNA from 1 species
UUGGGGAGUUCAGAAGAUCCAGAGAUCCACUGACAGUCAUUGCUGAAUGGCAGCAUUAACCAGUAACAGAAGACAUUCGAGUGGAAUGGCUAAAAUCAAGGGAAGCAAUUCCAGCAGGAGCAGAGAGACGCCCCCUCCCCCAAAGACAAAGAGUGUGAAAGGAACCCAGAGAGCCAAGAAGAGCCAAAUGGGACAUUCGGAAAGCCCGACCAGUGAAAAAGGGAAGUACAACGUGUUUGAAGGGACAAGCCCAAGGCUGGAAAGGACUCUUUGAUCUUUAAGAGGCUCAUAAACAAGGGCAGUCCACUUGCAGCCCUAUAUUUACACUUCCAAAUGUUGGUAGCUAAUCUGAAUGGAGUUUCAAGGCUGCAAGAGUUUGCAGUUUAGCCAGAAAGAAGCAGAGGAAGCCAAUUGCAUCAAACUUUUAAAGCUUGAGACAAGCUUCGCUAAUUGUUAACCAACGAACUAAAACACUGGCAAACACUUAUUUCAAAUGGGAUUUAAAAUAAUCAUAAAAAUCCAUGUAAGGCAUUCAUAAAAGAAGGAGGUGAAGGGGGGGAAGAGAAAAAAGAUAAUGGAAACUAAACUUAAGCCUCCCGUGCAGAUUAUUGCUAUCUAUUACUCCCUUUCAUGCAUUCUGCAUUCCAAUCAAGGCAGCCCACUUGCUGUUACAUACGUGGCAAUUAUCCAUUUCUAUACCUUGAAAUAGACUUUGCCCCAUGGCCUGGAAUGCUUUCCCUCCUUCUUUGAAGUUUGGCUCAAUCACCAACUCCUUCACCCAAAUAACCUGAAAUGUAUGUUGUUUGUGGAUAUGUUUAUAACUUUUUUUGGUGUUGAUUCUCAUUUUUAAUUUUUUUUGGAAAGGUAUUUUAUUUGACCAAUUACAUGUAACAGCAAUUUUACAAAAACGUUUUCUGAAGUCAUAUGGUUCAAAUUGUCUCCCUCCCUUUGUUUCCCUGUCCCCUUCCUAGAGAUGGCCAACAAUCUGAUCUGGACUAUACAAAUAUUAUCAUAUUCACAUCUCUUAAUAGGGGUCCUAACAGAUGAAAGAUAAAUGAAGUGUUCAGGGAGAACUAGCACCUCUGGUGUGAGAGUUUGACUAGCCUUUUCUCCUUUUCCUUUAAACCCUUAAACUUCCAUUUUAGAAUCAAUGCUAUUUAUUGGCUCCAAGGCACAAGAGUGGUAAGGGCUAGGCAAUGGGGGUCAAGUGACUCACCCAGGGUCACCCAGCUGGGAAGUGUCUGAGGUCAGAUUUGAACCCAGGACCUCCCAUCUCUAGACCUGGCUCUCAAACACUGAGCUACCCAGCUGCUCUCUUUGCCUAGCCUUUUACAAAGCUUUGGUGUCCACCUACCACAUAGCUCUCACCUGUGGCUCCAAGGAGCAGAAGCAUGUGUGGAGCAUACUCCAAUAAACCCAUCUUGACCAAUGGGCUAAAGCA